AAAAAAAAAAAAAAAAAAGAGUGACAUUUGGAUUUAUCUGUGAGAAACUCUUUUCGCACAAGUAAGCUGAUCCAAAGCUGGACUGAACUCCACAUUAUUCAUCUUUAUAUAGAAUAAAAUUGCAUGUUUCAAACACAAGUUUUUCAGGUUUUGAGAGUUUGUUAAUAUCACUCCAUUUGUGGUUUUAAAUCUGAAUAGCCUUCGUUUUUCACACCAAUCUUCCAGUAACAUCAUUAUUAUGUAGUAAUCGGGACACAGCAUAAGUCAAAUGUACAAAUUUUUUAGUAAAAGCAAAAAAGCUUUUAAUAAAAGAGUAAAACAUAAAUGUUUAACACUUCACUUAAACAUUAACUAUAGUACCUCUUAAGGAACCUAUAGAAUAUUGUCACAUGGGGUGAAGAACAGCAUAAACUGUCUCUUCCCCUUUUCUAUCUGUGUGAUUCAGAACUAAGAUGGAGCAGAUCAGUGACUGUCUGUGCAGGUAUCAGAACUACAACUUUCUGGCCAGUAUACAUAGACUCCCUUCAGAGUUUUUAAAUAACAAACAGCAAUGUCUUACUUGUGUCAGGCACCAUGUGGGCUCAGCAGAUCAUCACUUCUAUCUAUGAGUUGGACGGGCAUAUGAAUGAAUAUUCUACCAACUCGCAGAAGAUGCCAUGGCUGGGUGCAUACACUCAUCAGCUCUCUCCACGGCUCUUCACAUCACAUCUCUCCCAGGUUCUCAUGCCUCUAGGACUGAAGGACAAGAAGGGAAUGGUCAGAGCUGUAUAGAUGCUCAAGCAGCCUGAAGAAAGAGCAGGUUUAGUGAUAUACCCACAUAGCAGACAGGCAGGCAGCUAACUGCAGCUAAUGGCUCCCCCAUGAAAACCUUUGGUGAAAGGUUAGUGACUGUUUGUUUUUAUGACUGGGACUUCCUGUGGAACUUUGUAGUUGCUGCUAGCUCUGUGCCUUUAAUAGGCACUGAUUUUGUUUGUGCUCACUUGACCGUGAGCACAAAGAAGAAAUAAGACUGGUUGAUGUCUCUACCAGACGUUUGAUUGACGCUGUGUCUUUUUCUUCAUUACCCUGUUUUAAUCAGGGCACUCAGCCCGUGGUGCACGCUAAUUUGUAGCUUCGGGAAAUAUUUUUCAGUGUUUGCUUUCAGAGAUUUCCUCACUAACUGUCCCCACCUUCUGGAACACUGUGACGAAUGUGGGGUGGAAAAUUACAUCACUGUGAUAGGGCCCCCAGUGUUCGUGCGCGUGCGGUGUUUUGACAGGGCUUUUGGUCAAGUGAAUUCUUGACCAAAAGCCCCCUCCCCGUGUUUCGAUCCAUCUGUGCUUUCCCUCAACCCUCAGUUGCACUAGCUUUCCGUUCCUGGUCCAGUGCACCAUUGCCUGCCGGACACCUUUGUCCCAAAGACUUUAGAGACUGCUAAGUUUGUUUUUGUGUGGCACGAUGCCCACAGGACACCACUGCGUCCGCUGUAUGACGGCCUGUUUAGGGUUAUCAAACUGGGCUUGAAGCAUUUUGUUUUGGACUUUGGGGGUCGUAGGGAGACUGUGUUUGUUGACAGGAUGGGAGGUGGCUCCACUCACACCCAGGGUUAGGGGAAGUGAGGGGGUGAAGGUUUUGGUGCUUUCUAUGUUCAGGUGUGUAAAGCAGUGAUUAAAGUUGGAGUGGAAUAUUCACAGUACAACAACAAAAAAGUGUGAAGCUUAAGUUGUUUGUUGUUUAAGACUUCUGUUUGUAAAUAACACACACACACCCCUCCCCCCAUGUUGUGUAGCUUUCUGGAUUUUAUACUUA